UCACACUAAAGAAAGUCUAGCUCUGUUCUUUGUAUCAAGGAUUUAGGCAGAUGGCUAAAACCUUCCAUUUCUUGGGUUGUCAUUGAAAAAAUAAGAUUUAGGUUUGACACUGUGCAGGCAGCCCAACCUACCCAUAGCUGGCAGAAUGGAGGAGGAACUGAAAGAGUAGGAGAGAGAGAGGAGGAAGAAGAGGGGAGGCUGGGGAACAGAGAGCACUCUCUGACUUCUGAGCUUUUCUCCUGCUGUUUUGCCUGACUGAACUCUCAUCCCAGAGGUACUGCCAGUGUCAUCUGUUUCUGUGGUGUGUAGCAUGAGCCAGGCUCUACUACAACAUAGAAUGUACCCAGGAGGCCUUGUUUCAAUAGGUAAAUGUCUCACCUGAUGAUGAAAGAAGAGAUGCUUCUCCUCAGAUGACCCCUGCUAUGAAAUUUGAAGAGUUAUGUGACUUCUGAAAAUGUCUGAGCAGCAAAUGGUCAGGUGACUCCAGGCAUCAAAUGAGUGCAGCAUUGACCUCAGAUGACCCCAAGCAGAUCGUUGGCUGCCAUGUUGACCCCAGGUAUAAAUGGCAAGAAGAUUUGAUAGUCAGCGGUGGACUUUGUGGACCCAGCAUCUCUCUCUGUGCCAGAUGUACCAACAGAAGAAUGAACUGGGUUCCGCUGCCCCACCACUGAGAAACUCGGGGUGAACAAGGAGCAAUGGGAUGCCGCUGGAUCCACGAGUAGUGACUAUCUUUUGCUUGUGCUAUCUCUCUCCUCUUUCUCUCUUUCUCUCUUUUUCUCUCUUUCUCUCUUUUUCUCUCUUUUUCUCUUUUUGUCUCUUUCUUCUUCUCCCUUUCUCUUUCCUCUACACACUUAAUGUUACAAAAUAAAGUCAGUAUUGUUGAACUGGCA